GAUGAACGCUGGCGGCGUGCCUAAUACACGCAAGUCGAGCGAACAGACGAGGAGCUUGCUCCUCUGACGUUAGCGGCGGACGGGUGAGUAACACGUGGAUAACCUACCUAUAAGACUGGGAUAACUUCGGGAAACCGGAGCUAAUACCGGAUAAUAUAUUGAACCGCAUGGUUCAAUAGUGAAAGACGGUUUUGCUGUCACUUAUAGAUGGUUCCGCGCCGCAUUAGCUAGUUGGUAAGGUAACGGCUUACCAAGGCGACGAUGCGUAGCCGACCUGAGAGGGUGAUCGGCCACACUGGAACUGAGACACGGUCCAGACUCCUACGGGAGGCAGCAGUAGGGAAUCUUCCGCAAUGGGCGAAAGCCUGACGGAGCAACGCCGCGUGAGUGAUGAAGGUCUUCGGAUCGUAAAACUCUGUUAUUAGGGAAGAACAAAUGUGUAAGUAACUAUGCACGUCUUGACGGUACCUAAUCAGAAAGCCACGGCUAACUACGUG
rnacentral:rRNA from 1 species